rnacentral:tRNA from 3 species
GGCCCGGUAGCUCAGUGGUAGAGCAGGAGACUCUUAAUCUCUUUGUCGUGGGUUCAAAUCCCACCCGGGUCA